UACGAAGGGGGCUAGCGUUGCUCGGAAUCACUGGGCGUAAAGGGUGCGUAGGCGGGUCUUUAAGUCAGGGGGGAAAUCCUGGAGCUCAACUCCAGAACUGCCUUUGAUACUGAAGAUCUUGAGUUCGGGAGAGGUGAGUGGAACUGCGAGUGUAGAGGUGAAAUUCGUGGAUAUUCGCAAGAACACCAGUGGCGAAGGCGGCUCACUGGCCCGAUACUGACGCUGAGGCGCGAAAGCUAGGGGAGCAAACGGG
rnacentral:rRNA from 1 species